GCAUAGCUCAGUUGAUUAGAGUGUGGUGCUGAUAAUGCCAAGAUCAUGGGUUUGAUCCCCCAGGGGUGCA